rnacentral:rRNA from 1 species
GACGAACGCUGGCGGCGUGCUUAACACAUGCAAGUCGAACGGAAAGGCCCUGCUUUUGUGGGGUGCUCGAGUGGCGAACGGGUGAGUAACACGUGUGUAACCUGCCCUUGACUUUGGGAUAACUUCAGGAAACUGGGGCUAAUACCGGAUAGGAGCUCCUGCUGCAUGGUGGGGGUUGGAAAGUUUCGGCGGUUGGGGAUGGACUCGCGGCUUAUCAGCUUGUUGGUGGGGUAGUGGCUUACCAAGGCUUUGACGGGUAGCCGGCCUGAGAGGGUGACCGGCCACAUUGGGACUGAGAUACGGCCCAGACUCCUACGGGAGGCAGCAGUGGGGAAUAUUGCACAAUGGGCGGAAGCCUGAUGCAGCAACGCCGCGUGCGGGAUGACGGCCUUCGGGUUGUAAACCGCUUUCGCCUGUGACGAAGCGUGAGUGACGGUAAUGGGUAAAGAAGCACCGGCUAACUACG